UACGAAGGGGGCGAGCGUUGUUCGGAAUUACUGGGCGUAAAGGGCGCGUAGGCGGCGACCCAAGUCAGAUGUGAAAGUCCUGGGCUUAACCUGGGGACUGCAUUUGAUACUGGGUUGCUUGAAUUCGGGAGAGGAUAGCGGAAUUCCCAGUGUAGAGGUGAAAUUCGUAGAUAUUGGGAAGAACACCGGUGGCGAAGGCGGCUAUCUGGACCGACAUUGACGCUGAGGCGCGAAAGCAUGGGGAGCGAACGGG
rnacentral:rRNA from 1 species